rnacentral:hammerhead_ribozyme from 1 species
AUCCAGCUGACGAGUCCCAAAUGGGACGAGAUGAGCGUCCUGCAU